AAGAUUAAGAUUGAGUAUAUUAUUGUGGUUUGACAUAUCUCUGAAUAUCAAGUGUAUGCGUGUACCUCUUUGUUUCAUUGAUGAAUAUAUGUGUAUUUGGAAACCUUUUGGUGUUGUAAAAGGCUUCUCCAAAGUCAUCAAAUGUUAUUGAUGUAUCAUAUUAAUAAUAGUUUGUAUCAUAUUAGUUAUGACUAUUUUCCAAUAUUCACAUUUU
rnacentral:misc_RNA from 1 species